UUUCAAAUUCACCUCUUUCGAUUCAUUCAUUCACAGCUAUUUUUAUUCUCUUCUUUUUUCUCUGUAAUCUAUCUUUGCACUCUCAAUUAUUAGUUUCUCUCUCUUCUUUUCAUUUUCUUUACUUUCCCUCGUGUCACCUCAAGAACAUAAUUCGUUUAGUGCAAACGUUCUUAUUAGUCUUUCAAAAAAAAAUCUGAACACCCAGAAAUCCGACAUUUUUUCACCCUUUGACGACCAUUUGCAUUCGUUGUAACCGAGGAUAUAUCAAGUUUAAGGUUGCUGAUUUGUGGCUCUGGUUUCGGUUCUUUAUUAGCUUGGCUGCUAUUACAGGAGUUGCAGUUUGAACUAUUGCUGGCUUUAAAGGUGGCAAUGAGUGAUAAUCGGUCAGAACUUGGAAGGCCUGCCUCAAGUAAAAGAAGGUUGAAGGAUUUAUUGCUUCAAAAAGAUAAUCGUUUUUGUGCUGAUUGUAAUGCUCCAGAUCCUCAAUGGGCG